GAUGAACGCUAGCUACAGGCUUAACACAUGCAAGUCGAGGGGAAACGGCAUCGAAAGCUUGCUUUUGAUGGGCGUCGACCGGCGCACGGGUGAGUAACGCGUAUCCAACCUGCCCAUCACUUGGGAAUAACCUUGCGAAAGUAAGACUAAUGCCCAAUGACAUCCCACGAAGGCAUCCGAAUGGGAUUAAAGAUUUAUCGGUGAUGGAUGGGGAUGCGUCUGAUUAGCUUGUUGGCGGGGUGACGGCCCACCAAGGCAACGAUCAGUAGGGGUUCUGAGAGGAAGGUCCCCCACAUUGGAACUGAGACACGGUCCAAACUCCUACGGGAGGAAGCAGUGAGGAAUAUUGGUCAAUGGGCGAGAGCCUGAACCAGCCAAGUAGCGUGCAGGAUGACGGACCUAUGGGUUGUAAACUGCUUUUAUAAGGGAAUAAAGUGGGUCACGUGUGAAUUUUUGCAUGUACAUGAUUAAUAAGGACAGGAUAAUUCAGUG
rnacentral:rRNA from 1 species